rnacentral:rRNA from 1 species
AGAGUUUGAUCCUGGCUCAGGAUGAACGCUAGCGACAGGCUUAACACAUGCAAGUCGAGGGGCAGCGGGGACGAAGCUUGCUUCGUCUGCCGGCGACCGGCGCACGGGUGAGUAACACGUAUGCGACCUGCCCCCCGCAGGGGGAUAACCGGGAGAAAUCCCGACUAAUACCGCGUAACGCCGCGGGGCUGCAUGGCCCCGCGGCCAAAGGAAGCGAUUCCGGCGGGGGAUGGGCAUGCGGCGCAUUAGCUAGUCGGCGGGGCAACGGCCCACCGAGGCGACGAUGCGUAGGGGUUCUGAGAGGAAGGUCCCCCACACUGGUACUGAGACACGGACCAGACUCCUACGGGAGGCAGCAGUGAGGAAUAUUGGUCAAUGGGCGGGAGCCUGAACCAGCCAAGUCGCGUGAGGGAAGACGGUCCUACGGAUUGUAAACCUCUUUUGCCGGGGAGCAACGGGGUCCUUGCGAGGGCCCGAUGAGAGUACCCGGAGAAAAAGCAUCGGCUAACUCCGUGCCAGCAGCCGCGGUAAUACGGAGGAUGCGAGCGUUAUCCGGAUUUAUUGGGUUUAAAGGGUGCGUAGGCGGGCUGUUAAGUCAGCGGUCAAAUGUCGGGGCUCAACCCCGGCCUGCCGUUGAAACUGGCGGCCUCGAGUGGGCGAGAAGUAUGCGGAAUGCGUGGUGUAGCGGUGAAAUGCAUAGAUAUCACGCAGAACUCCGAUUGCGAAGGCAGCAUACCGGCGCCCGACUGACGCUGAGGCACGAAAGCGUGGGUACCGAACAGGAUUAGAUACCCUGGUAGUCCACGCAGUAAACGAUGAAUGCUAGCUGUCCGGUUCUACGGGACUGGGUGGCACAGCGAAAGCGUUAAGCAUUCCACCUGGGGAGUACGCCGGCAACGGUGAAACUCAAAGGAAUUGACGGGGGCCCGCACAAGCGGAGGAACAUGUGGUUUAAUUCGAUGAUACGCGAGGAACCUUACCCGGGCUCAAACGCCAAAGGACAGCCGUUGAAAGGCGGCCUCCCUCCGGGGUCUUUGGCGAGGUGCUGCAUGGUUGUCGUCAGCUCGUGCCGUGAGGUGUCGGCUUAAGUGCCAUAACGAGCGCAACCCCCAUCGACAGUUGCUAACGGGUAGAGCCGAGGACUCUGUCGAGACUGCCGGCGCAAGCUGCGAGGAAGGCGGGGAUGACGUCAAAUCAGCACGGCCCUUACGUCCGGGGCGACACACGUGUUACAAUGGCCGGUACAGCGGGAUGCCAGGGCGCGAGCCCGAGCGGAACCCGAAAACCGGUCUCAGUUCGGAUUGGAGUCUGCAACCCGACUCCAUGAAGCUGGAUUCGCUAGUAAUCGCGCAUCAGCCACGGCGCGGUGAAUACGUUCCCGGGCCUUGUACUCACCGCCCGUCA